CCUACGUGGUGCAGCAGUGGGGAAUAUUGCACAAUGGGGGAAACCCUGAUGCAGCGACGCCGCGUGAGUGAAGAAGUAAUUCGUUACGUAAAGCUCUAUCAGCAGGUAAGAACCCCUUACCUUACGGUCAGCCGCCGGUACCUUCGUCAGACGCCCCGGCUACCUACGUGCCAGCAGCCGCGGUAAUCCGUAGGGGGCAAGCGUUAUCCGGAUUUACUGGGUGUAAAGGGAGCGUAGACGGUGCGCCACGUCUGGAGUGAAAUGACGCAGCUUAACUGCGGAACUGCUUUGGAAACUGGCGAACUAGAGGGCGGGAGUGGUAAGCGGAAUUCCUAGUGUAGCGGGGAAAUGCGUAGAUAUUAGGAGGAACACCGGUGGCGAAGGCGGCUUACUGGACCGUAACUGACGUUGAGGCUCGAAAGCGUGGGGAGCAAACAGGAUUAGAUACCCCUGUAGUC
rnacentral:rRNA from 1 species